rnacentral:rRNA from 1 species
GACGUAGGGUCCAAGCGUUGUCCGGAUUUACUGGGCGUAAAGAGCGCGUAGGCGGCUCGUUAAGUGUGAAGUGAAAUCUCCAGGGCUCAACCCGGGAAACUGCUUCGCAUACUGGCGAGCUGGAGUGACGAAGAGGGUUUGUGGAAUUCCCGGUGUAGCGGUGAAAUGCGCAGAUAUCGGGAGGAACACCAGUGGCGAAGGCGGUACUCUGGGCCGGAACUGACGCUGAGGAGCGAAAGCGUGGGUAGCGAACAGG